rnacentral:tRNA from 1 species
GAUACAGAGCCUGAUUAAAGGAUUACCGUGAUAGGGUAAAAUAUGUAAAAAAUUACCUGUAUCU